UACGGGGGGGGCAAGCGUUGUUCGGAAUUACUGGGCGUAAAGGGCUCGUAGGCGGCCAACUAAGUCAUACGUGAAAUCCCUCGGCUUAACCGGGGAACUGCGUCUGAUACUGGAUGGCUUGAGUUCGGGAGAGGGAUGCGGAAUUCCAGGUGUAGCGGUGAAAUGCGUAGAUAUCUGGAGGAACACCGGUGGCGAAGGCGACUACCUGGCCUGUUCUUGAGCGCUGAGGCGCGAAAGCUAGGGGAGCAAACGGG
rnacentral:rRNA from 1 species